rnacentral:rRNA from 1 species
UUUAUGGAGAGUUUGAUCCUGGCUCAGGAUGAACGCUGGCGGCGUGCCUAAUACAUGCAAGUCGAGCGAACGGACGAGAAGCUUGCUUCUCUGAUGUUAGCGGCGGACGGGUGAGUAACACGUGGAUAACCUACCUAUAAGACUGGGAUAACUUCGGGAAACCGGAGCUAAUACCGGAUAAUAUUUUGAACCGCAUGGUUCAAAAGUGAAAGACGGUCUUGCUGUCACUUAUAGAUGGAUCCGCGCUGCAUUAGCUAGUUGGUAAGGUAACGGCUUACCAAGGCAACGAUGCAUAGCCGACCUGAGAGGGUGAUCGGCCACACUGGAACUGAGACACGGUCCAGACUCCUACGGGAGGCAGCAGUAGGGAAUCUUCCGCAAUGGGCGAAAGCCUGACGGAGCAACGCCGCGUGAGUGAUGAAGGUCUUCGGAUCGUAAAACUCUGUUAUUAGGGAAGAACAUAUGUGUAAGUAACUGUGCACAUCUUGACGGUACCUAAUCAGAAAGCCACGGCUAACUACGUGCCAGCAGCCGCGGUAAUACGUAGGUGGCAAGCGUUAUCCGGAAUUAUUGGGCGUAAAGCGCGCGUAGGCGGUUUUUUAAGUCUGAUGUGAAAGCCCACGGCUCAACCGUGGAGGGUCAUUGGAAACUGGAAAACUUGAGUGCAGAAGAGGAAAGUGGAAUUCCAUGUGUAGCGGUGAAAUGCGCAGAGAUAUGGAGGAACACCAGUGGCGAAGGCGACUUUCUGGUCUGUAACUGACGCUGAUGUGCGAAAGCGUGGGGAUCAAACAGGAUUAGAUACCCUGGUAGUCCACGC